ACGAACGCUGGCGGCGUGCUUAACACAUGCAAGUCUAACGGAAAGGCCCCUUUGGGGGUCCUCGAGUGGCGAACGGGUGAGUAACACGUGAGUAACCUGCCCUUGACUUCGGGAUAACUUCAGGAAACUGGGGCUAAUACCGGAUAGGAAUCCUUGCUGCAUGGUGGGGGUUGGAAAGCUUCGGCGGUUUUGGAUGGACUCGCGGCUUAUCAGCUUGUUGGUGGGGUAGUGGCUUACCAAGGCUUUGACGGGUAGCCGGCCUGAGAGGGCGACCGGCCACAUUGGGACUGAGAUACGGCCCAGACUCCUACGGGAGGCAGCAGUGGGGAAUAUUGCACAAUGGGCGGAAGCCUGAUGCAGCAACGCCGCGUGCGGGAUGACGGCCUUCGGGUUGUAAACCGCUUUCAGCAGGGGCGAAGCUUGUGGUGACGGUACCUGCAGAAGAAGCACCGGCUAACUACGUG
rnacentral:rRNA from 1 species